UAAUUGCCUACAUAACUAUUAAUAUAAUUCUUAUUAAUAUAAUUUAUAGCUUUAGUCACUAUAAUUUUCUGUUGCUGUUGUGUGCAUGCACCACUGCCGUUUGUUAUUUUCAGAUAAUCUUAAAUUUUAACAAUGGCUAAUAUCAUUAACAAUAGGACAAAUGUGGGUGAAAGGAUAGCACAGCUUGGUAAUCUACCUUUUCUACACCUUUC